AUAACAACGAAACUUCUUAGCGCGGCAUUAAACGUCCUGCGUGGCCUGGCGUCGGAUUUCUUUCUGGGCUCAACUCCAGUGACCUCUCCAAUGACAUCGCAUGCACACGGAGCCCGAUCACAGGGCACACUUUUCUUGUAUCUUGUAGAGCGUGCAUUUCCCAGUCCUUUGCUCUUACCGUGCCCUGUGACUAGACUAACUCUCCUUGCGUUCUGUCUUCAUUGAUUUUUUUUUUUUUUCUUCAUUCUUCCACAUCGGAUCCAAAGGCCUCUGUGGAGCCUUCCUUCCCAGAGUCCUCUGGCUCAGGUGAUAUCCUUUCCUCUCUCUCUGGGCAAUUUGUUGUUGACAAGGGGUUGGAUUUGCACAUCUGCCUAGAUGCUCUUCUCUUCUAUCUGAGGACAGACACACUGUGGAUGUGCAUUGGUUUCUUCAACUGCCUAUUGGAGGAGAAUACUUAUAGGGAAUACAAUCGAUGUUUCACUGACUUUACUCCUGGCCCCUGGAGUCCAAUCCAGUGUAGCUCAUGAAUACAACUUUAAAACUGACUUGCUGAGCCAAGUACCGAAGCCAUUCAACUUUGUCUCCCAAAGAAUUUCUUUCCCUCACUUGGGAACAUCAGGUGAGCCCAGAGUGUCUGAAGGGAUGUAUAUUGCCCAUCUACCUCACAUAUGGACAUGAAGUUCUUUUUGUGUCUGAGAAGACCCCUUAAAUUUUCUUCUCAAUAAAUAGGUAAGAUUUCUACCCUUCUGCCUCUCCUGUAUGCAUGUUGCUUGGCUACACUUCAUUACUUACCGAUUUGGAUUACCUCAAGUGGGUUAAAACAAAGAAAACUCAUACUUCUCUGAAAACCCUUUGUUCAAUGGAAUGCCAUACUUGUCUGAACUCAUCCGCUGUAUUUGCCGAUGGCUACUCAAUGUCAAGGAGCAGAGAUGAGCAGAUAUGUUUGCAGAUUCUAUGGCACACUUUCUUUAGUUACUAAAAUAUAAAGUUACCAAAACUAUGUAUCUAAAUGUAUAUAUAAUAUAUACUAGGGUAAGGCAGAGAGUAUGAGUGUGGACAUUAAUUUUGGGCCUAC